UACGUAGGUGGCAAGCGUUGUCCGGAUUUACUGGGCGUAAAGAGCGCGCAGGCGGUCGUACAAGUCGCGUGUGAAAGCCCCCGGCUCAACUGGGGAGGGUCACGCGAUACUGUUCGACUCGAAGGCAGGAGAGGGAAGCAGAAUUCCUGGUGUAGCGGUGAAAUGCGCAGAUAUCAGGAAGAACACCCGUGGCGAAGGCGGCUCUCUGGGACGGUACUGACGCUGAGACGCGAAAGCGUGGGGAGCGAACAGG
rnacentral:rRNA from 1 species